UUAGCGGCGGACGGGUGAGUAAUGCCUAGGAAUCUGCCUGGUAGUGGGGGAUAACGUUCCGAAAGGAACGCUAAUACCGCAUACGUCCUACGGGAGAAAGCAGGGGACCUUCGGGCCUUGCGCUAUCAGAUGAGCCUAGGUCGGAUUAGCUAGUUGGUGAGGUAAUGGCUCACCAAGGCGACGAUCCGUAACUGGUCUGAGAGGAUGAUCAGUCACACUGGAACUGAGACACGGUCCAGACUCCUACGGGAGGCAGCAGUGGGGAAUAUUGGACAAUGGGCGAAAGCCUGAUCCAGCCAUGCCGCGUGUGUGAAGAAGGUCUUCGGAUUGUAAAGCACUUUAAGUUGGGAGGAAGGGCAUUAACCUAAUACGUUAGUGUUUUGACGUUACCAACAGAAUAAGCACCGGCUAACUUCGUGCCAGCAGCCGCGGUAAUACGAAGGGUGCAAGCGUUAAUCGGAAUUACUGGGCGUAAAGCGCGCGUAGGUGGUUCGUUAAGUUGGAUGUGAAAGCCCCGGGCUCAACCUGGGAACUGCAUCCAAAACUGGCGAGCUAGAGUACGGUAGAGGGUAGUGGAAUUUCCUGUGUAGCGGUGAAAUGCGUAGAUAUAGGAAGGAACACCAGUGGCGAANGCGACUACCUGGACUGAUACUGACACUGAGGUGCGAAAGCGUGGGGAGCAAACAGGAUUAGAUACCCUGGUAGUCCACGCCGUAAACGAUGUCAACUAGCCGUUGGAAUCCUUGAGAUUUUAGUGGCGCAGCUAACGCAUUAAGUUGACCG
rnacentral:rRNA from 1 species